rnacentral:rRNA from 1 species
GGGCGUCAAAGCUUACCAAAGAAUAUCAAACUCCGAAUGCCAUGUAGAUGAUGAACGGGAGUCAGACUGCACGAGAUAAGUUGGGCGGUCAAAAGGGAAAGAGCCCAGACCUUCAGUUAAGGUCCCAAAGUGCGCGUUAAGUGGAAAAGGAUGUGGGAUUUCGAAGACAACCAGGAUGUUGGCUCAGAAGCAGCCAUCCAUUCAAAGAGUGCGUAAUAGCUCACUGGUCGAGAGGUCCUGCGCCGAAAAUGUCCGGGGCUGAAACGCGCCACCGAAACUAAGGAACCGAAAGGUUGGUAGAGGAGCAUUGCAUGCGGAACGAAGCAGUACCGUAAGGAGCUGUGGACUGCAUGGAAGAGAGAAUGCCGGAAUGAGUAGCGAGAUAGAGGUGGGAAUCCUCUAGGCCGAAUAUCCAAGGUUUCCAGAGUAAAGCUGAUCUGCUCUGGGUAAGUCGGGGCCUAAGGCGAGGACGAGAGUCGUAGCCGAUGGACAACAGGUGGAGAUUCCUGUACUGCGGUAUGACAGAACUGUGGGGACACGUAAGGAAAGCGGAAGCCGGGAAUGGAAAGCCCGGUGCAAGCGGGGUACCAGUCACUUUGGCAAAUCCGGGUGGCAAUGGGAAGCCGUGAUGCGGAGCGAAAUAAAGUAGCGAAGUCCGUGAGCCAUGCGUCAAGAAAAGCCGCUAUUGUUUAUACCGUACCCGUACCGUAAACCGACACAGGUGGAUGAGGAGAGAAUCCUAAGGCCGGCGGAAGAAGCAUUGUCAAGGAACUCGGCAAAAUGACCCCGUAACUUCGGGAGAAGGGGUGCCACUGAGAAGUGGCCGCAGAGAAUAGGCUCAAGCAACUGUUUAGCAAAAACACAGGUCUAUGCGAAACCGAAAGGUGAGGUAUAUGGGCUGACGCCUGCCCGGUGCUGGAAGGUUAAGGGGAGUGGUCAGGAAACGAAGCCACGAACUUAAGCCCCAGUAAACGGCGGCCGUAACUAUAACGGUCCUAAGGUAGCGAAAUUCCUUGUCGGGUAAGUUCCGACCCGCACGAAAGGCGUAAUGAUUUGAGCGCUGUCUCGACAAUGCAUCCGGUGAAAUUGAAGUACCAGUGAAGAUGCUGGUUACCUGCGCCAGGACGGAAAGACCCCAUGGAGCUUUACUCUAGCUUGAUACUGGGAUUCGGUACUGCAUGUACAGGAUAGGUGGGAGACUUUGAUGACAGGACGCCAGUCUUGUCGGAGUCGCUGUUGGGAUACCACCCUUGUGGUACUGGAUUUCUAACCAACCUCCGUGACCCGGAGGUGGGACAAUGUCAGGUGGGGAGUUUGACUGGGGCGGUCGCCUCCGAAAGGGUA